GUUGCAUUGGUAACAUACACACCUAGAUUCCUAUUCUCAAUAAACAUCUUUCCACCACUCUGUAAAUCGCGAUUCUUCCACUUCUUCCUCUCGGCUUCCGCUUCUACAUCUGUAUCUCCACUUCGUCUAGGUUUCUUCUUCUACAUUUGUACACAUAUACGCCCCUCUGUGUUCAGUAAAAAGGAAGAACACUGUUGAAUGAUUAUUCAAUACAGGUGCAUCCAGAUAAGUGUAUUACGAAGACUGAAUUCAUUGUUGGCGGUGUAUCUCGCUUCGACUUCAAAACUUCUGUCAUCGUCAAGACCAUGGUCGCUUUUCACAAGAAGUUAAAGAACAUGUAGCUUCACGUUGAUUCUCCUCCAUUUCCUGUCAAUUUGAUAUGGCUGGAUGGAAAAGAUAGGAAGAAAGAAAAGUAGAAAGCGGCUUAUUGUAGCUACAAUUAGUUCAAUUAUAUUUUAUAUAUAGAUGAAAUUUAUGGUCCCUUUGAUAUUUAUCUUUUAUCUUUUAGCAUAUUUAUGGUCUUAAAUUGAACAAGAACCACUUGACAAUUUAUCAACAACUAUACUUUUUCAUCGUUUUUC